rnacentral:lncRNA from 1 species
GGAUCGAUCGGGUAUACGCCGAUUCCACGUGGUUACGCGUAGAGGCCGGGCACGUGCGCUGCUAAUCGGAACUUCUAUUCGUCAUAUUCAGUUUCAAUCGUACAGUAGAUCAAGAGACCUUAACUGGUUUACGGUAAUAUCUCUAAACAUAAAGAGUUUUCAUUUAGAUUAAAUUUUUGCAUAGUAAUAUGAGAAUGAUCCGCCGGCAAUGGUUUGAUUUAUUGGUUUUUUAGUUUUCAUAUGUGAUGUGUAUUUGGCUUCCGAAAAAUUUUAAAAUGCGAAAUUAUCUUCCGCUGCAUUUUCUCUGAUGUGCCGGUUAAUUUCUAACAACAUCUAUCUUUAAAUUA